UUAAAUUGAAGAGUUUGAUCAUGGCUCAGAUUGAACGCUGGCGGCAGGCCUAACACAUGCAAGUCGAACGGUAACAGGAAGCAGCUUGCUGCUUUGCUGACGAGUGGCGGACGGGUGAGUAAUGUCUGGGAAACUGCCCGAUGGAGGGGGAUAACUACUGGAAACGGUAGCUAAUACCGCAUAACGUCGCAAGACCA
rnacentral:rRNA from 1 species